AGGGGGGAUAACAUCCGGAAACGGGUGCGUAAUACCGCAUAGUUUCUUGAUCGCAUGAUCGGGAAAGGAAAGACGGCCUUUGUGCUGUCGCUUAUGGAUGGACCCGCGGCGUAUUAGUUAGUUGGUGAGGUAACGGCUCACCAAGACGAUGGAUACGUAGCCGACCUGAGAGGGUGAUCGGCCACAUUGGGACUGAGACACGGCCCAAACUCCUACGGGAGGCAGCAGUAGGGAAUCUUCCGCAAUGGACGAAAGUCUGACGGAGCUAACGCCGCGUGAGGUGAAGAAAAGGUUUUCGGAUCGUAAAACUCUGUUGUCAGAGAAGAACAAGUUGGAGAGUAACUGCUCCAGCCUUGACGGUAUCUGACCAGAAAGCCACGGCUAACUACGUGCCAGCCGCUGC
rnacentral:rRNA from 1 species